UCUUGAAACUGCAUUAGUUUCUGUCGUGUCCAUGUAGUUUGUGCAGCAGUCUCAGCGGCAUCAUUGACAUAUGUGUAUGUAGCAUACUUGUUCGGUGCCACAUUACUAUUGCCAUUACAUAUUACACUUCAAAAUGAGAAUUGAAGAUUCAGGUUGCAUUUUGUAGUUGAAUUGCCAUACAUUAACAUAUCCUAGUUUAUGUUUCACAUUGUCCAAAUAUAAAGCUUUAACAUGGAGAUGCCCUUUUGUUUUAUCCACAGAGAUAACUGUAAAGGAAGAUGAAAUCAAGUAUUUGGGAAAUAUAACUUCCUUGUGCCCAUAAGGGUAACAAUACAGAAACAGAUAAAAUCAGGUGUUUGGAAGAAGCCAUUUCUUUUGCCUACAAUGGUGACAGUAAAGGAAUAGAUGAACUCAAGUAUUUGGGACUUCACCUCCAUCGAAGGGUGACAAUAGAGUAACAAAUGAAAGCACAUACUU